AUUGAACGCUGGCGGCAGGCCUAACACAUGCAAGUCGAACGAGUGGCGGACGGGUGAGUAAUGUCUGUGAACCUGCCUGAUGGAUGGGGAUAACUACUGGAAACGGUAGCUAAUACCGCAUACCAUCGGAUGUUCCCAGAUGGGAUUAGCUAGUGGGUGGGGUAAAGGCUCACCUGGGCGACGAUCCCUAGCUGGUCUGAGAGGAUGACCAGCCAAACUGGAACGGAGACACGGUCCAGACUCCUACGGGAGGCAGCAGUGGGGAAUAUUGGACAAUGGGGGCAAGACUGAUGCAGCCAUGCCGCGUGUAUGAAGAAGGCCUUCGGGUUGUAAAGUACUUUCAGCGGGGAAGCGGUACCUGCAGAAGAAGCACCGGCUAACUCCGUGCCAGCAGCCGCGGUAAUUC
rnacentral:rRNA from 1 species